rnacentral:rRNA from 1 species
AGAAUCAACGCUGGCGGCGUGCCUCAGACAUGCAAGUCGAACGCGAAAGUCCCCUUCGGGGGUGAGUAGAGUGGCGCACGGGUGAGUAACACGUAGGUAAUCUACCUUCGGGUGGGGAAUAACAACCGGAAACGGUUGCUAACACCGCAUAAUGCAGCGGCACCUAAUGGUGACAGUUGUUAAAGCGGGGGAUCGAAAGACCUCGCGCCUGAAGAGGAGCCUGCGGCGGAUUAGCUAGUUGGUAGGGUAACGGCUUACCAAGGCGACGAUCCGUA